rnacentral:rRNA from 1 species
CCUACGGGAGGCUGCAGUGGGGGAUAUUGCACAAUGGGGGGAACCCUGAUGCAGCGACGCCGCGUGGGUGAAGGAGUGCUUCGGCAUGUAAAGCUCUAUCGGCAGGGAAGAAGCAAGACGGUACCUGACUAAGAAGCCCCGGCUAACUACGUGCCAGCAGCCGCGGUAAUACGUAGGGGGCGAGCGUUAUCCGGAUUCACUGGGUGUAAAGGGUGCGUAGACGGCCAAGCAAGCCUGGGGUGAAAGCCAGAGGCCCAACCCCGGGACUGCCCUUGAAACUGCAAGGCUUGAGUGCGGGAGGGGCAGGGGGAAUUCCUGGUGUAGCGGUGAAAUGCGUAGAUAUCAGGAGGAACACCGGCGGCGAAGGCGGCCUGCUGGACUGAAACUGACGUUGAGGAUCGAAAGCGUGGGGAGCAAACAGGAUUAGAUACCCCUGUAGUC